CUGCAAGUACGUACAUAUGUUAAUUUAUCGAUCAGUUAAUUUGUCAUUAAAAUUCGAGACCGCGACCUGAUUAUAUAUAACAUGAGCAAUUAAUAAUAUAAAAAUUAAUGUAUUAAAUAAACAAGAUAUCCAACGUACCAUGCAUUGAGAUUUGAUCUCAUCUAUGGAUAACAAUGGAACCCCAUUUUCAUCAUUUGCUGAAAUAAGAACAUCUAGCAAGUCCUGGUCCUUGUGAGCUUCCUUUUUGUUGUCAUGAUGACGUCUCCGUUGGUGUACUCUCUCAUCUAUAAUGGAAUCGUGAUACUUGUUGGCAGUUUUCAUGGCCGCACUUACUUUCUCAUUUUCUUCCAUUGUUGACCCCAUGGCACGACUGCCACUGACAGGAAUCCACGGCUAGAGUACUCUGUCCCCAUUGUGAGCGGCCUCGUUGCAAAAAUUGAGUCGUUAUCUUUUAGAACUUCCAAGGCAAUUUCUGGGGAAGUCACUGGAAUCACAUGAACAUUUCCAAGCCGGAUGCAAGAAAUGUUGGUUUUAAGUUCUUUCAUCACACUGUGUAUCCAUUUGAAGGCCGGCUUAUUCCUCCAAAUCUCUGGAAGGUUUCCGACUAUUGGCCACGCAGCCGGGCCUGGGGGCAGAGGUGGUUGCUUCAUUCUUUUCUGGUCCGUACUCUGCUGGACAAAUUCAUUCAUUUUCAAUCAAAUUAGUUUAUAUGUUGAAUAAAAAUAUACAAUUAUUGUUCCUAAUAAAUAAGUAAGGGAAAUCGAAAAAUAAAUAUAGUAUACCUUGAACAGUUGAUUCUGAACGAAUGAAUACAUGUCCAUCACAUACUUCCGAAUAGUUUCGGAUUUCAGCUGAAAGCUUAUUAGUGUAACAACGGCAACAAGUAGUGUCACCCGAACAAUAUAUGUGGAUUCAAAAAUGGGAUUAUCUUCAAGAUAAGAAAGGAAAUCCAUAAUAUUAAUGAAGGCACUUUUUGGAUUCAAGAGUAAAGCCAAACGAUUUGUGGCUAUCAAAACAAAAAAGCAAUUAAUAUUAUUCUUGAUGGAUAUUGAUUGAAUGAAGAGGGGGUUCUCCAUUCGUCAUUAUAUAUAGAAGGGUGGUACGGGGUUGUCAAGUUCAACGAAACUCAUGAACAACGUUUUCGACAUGCAACUUGACGCAUAAUUCGUCUGUAUCCAUAUUAAGAAUUAAAAUUAGUCAUGUGGCGAUUUGUCUUCGGUCAUCACUGACCAACAGUCUAUUACAAAACUUAUUUUAAUUCCUUGAUGAAGUUCUCAUGACUUCUAGUGAAAGGAAUAUAUUCCACAGAUAGUUAAUUAAUUAGAGGGGAGAUUCAAUAUUGGCAACAAGAAAAGAAAAAUUCAAAUUAUCAUUUUAUUAAGAUUAUCAUUAUUCUGGUUCUAUUCUCACAGUUUAUUAUAUCUUGCUUUCUUUUAUCAAUUUUUUUUUUAUGUAGUCAUGCUUCAUUCCUUCAAGGUGGUUUCACAUCUUCAAUAUUGGCUGUGAUGGGCGGAUUGAUUGUUAUCUUGGUUGAUAGAAUAAUCGAUGGAUUGUGCGACGAUGGUGGGUGGACAGUGGAGGAGUGAUCUCUAAGAAAAAAGAAAGAAAAGCAUAGUUUAUGCAUUCGAUAGAUUUUACGCUGUGACUAUAUAUAUAAUGGCUAUUAUAGCCAUAAAUCUUCUUUUUCUCUUUUUUUUAAGGGAAUAAUUUGAAGAAUAGAUAAAUAUCUUUUUUUUUUUUGGUACAAUAAGUAGCCCAAACAAAGCUAAGCAAGAUAAAUAUGUUUUAGGGUUAUUUUAGGGACCUCCCCUGAAGUUUAGUGUAUUUACAGUCGGAUAGAAAGUAUCCACGUAAUUACAAGCACCUUCCCUACCGUUAGUAUCCAAUUAGUUUGACUGUUAGUAGACCGUUAAAAUUACAAAAGUACUAUUCCCCUCAAAAUAAUAAGUUUUUUUUUUCAGACUGGUUCUCCAUUUUCAUUGAAAUUUUCUCUCACUUCCUCUCACUUUUUCUUGACCUCCAAACAAAAACAUUUUUUAAUUAUUCAUCAGUAAACAAUAGGAUAACAAGAUGCAGCAAAGCAAGCAAAACUUUAAAACUACAUCAAAUACAAAAAGAUCCACACAGCCCCAUCCAUAACCUUAUUCAAAUCCCAAAUGGUCUGCAAUCAACUGAAACUAAUCUGUUUCUUUCCUCCAACUUUCCCACCACCCAAACACACACUCCUACGAAAUUUAAACCACAUCCUAGUACAGAUCAAUCUCAGUUACAAUUACACAAGUACCGGCUUGCUUCAAAGUAGCAACACAACCAUUGCCAACAUCACCAUAACCGCAAACAACAACAACAUUUCCGGCAAUCAUAACAUCAGUAGCUCUCAUCAAACCAUCGAUGGAAAACAAAACAAUAAAAUGGAUCAUCAACCACGUCAAAAAAUGAAGAUGAUUAAAAUAAUGAUCUAUCGAUCAUGUCGAACGGCAACCAUUGAUGAUGACGUGGGGAAGUAAUUGUGGUACCUACUGCCGUAUAACACAGUGGAUCGACGCCGUUGGAGCAUGCCGUAGUAUCAGAGAGCCGACGUCAGAACUAAAAUUAGGUUGACGAAUAAGCAUGCAAAUUGUCGAAACACGUACGCGCUCUUUUUGAAAACUACGCUCAUCGUUACCGAUACCGUGUCUUCGAACCUAAUCAUGUCCUCAUUUUCAAUCUUUUCUUUGAGAUCAUGUGCCACUCACUUUGUGCUAGUGUGACAAUGAAUUUGAGAUCUGAAGCAAAUCAAAGUAAAUUACCUUGCUAUUGGUGACAGAGUCAUUGACAUUGAUGGCAUGGAACAAGAGGGUUCCAUUUUCUUGCAUCUGGUACAACCAAUCUGAAACUCGGCGUUGUCAGUGGAGGCCGGGUCGGGUAGCUUCCGAGUCUUCUCGUAGAUCUCCUCAACUUUGACUCUCUCGUGGAUCAACAACAUGGCGUACCACCGUCGUCAAUGAUGAGAUCUGGGCCGCCGCCGGGACCCUAGUCUAGAGCUUUCUCCGUGCACCACCAAUACUCCUAGAGGGUCUCGCCCUUCCAAGCGAAGACGGAGGCAAAGUUACGUACAAUGGCGGCUGCCACGUGGUCUUGGGUUGAGAAGAUAUUGCAGGACCACCAGCGGACUUUGGUGUCGAGAGCGGUGAGGGUUCCGAUGAUGUUGGCUCCUUUGAAGGGCUAUGAAAGGGCCGAAUCAACAAAAUCAUCGCACUUUUGAUUUUUUUAUUUUAAAUAUAUUUUUACACAUUUACCCUUACAUACUGAUGCCAUACGUAUUUGAAUACUAACGUCAGGGGAGAUCCCUGUAAUUAAAUGCAUACUUUCUAUCUGACUGUAAAUACACUAAACCUUAGGGGAGGUCCCUUAAAAUAACCCAUAUAUUUUAUUGUGAUACUUUUUGCCAGAUUUAAAAGAUAAAAAGGAAAGCUAAAAAUUUGACCAAACAUUAUAUUGGUAUCUUAAUUAAUUUCUUGUCGAUAUCCUAGAACCACUAACGCACUUCCACAUCUUCACUCUUUCGGCGCAAAAUAUUAUUCAGCCCCCUAUACUCUAUAUUAUUUACAAUUAUUUAUAAGUAUUAUAAAACUUUCUGUCUAGUAAAAUUUUGUUGAACCCCUUGUACUCUGUUUUAUUUUAAUCAAACUCUUGGAGUACCAAUUUACCCUCUAUACUUUUAAAUUCCCAAAAUACCCUACAUUUAAUUAAAAAAUAUAAUAAUUAUUAAAUAAAUUAUAAUUAUAAUUAUAAUAAUUGUUUAUUAUAAUUAUAUUUUUUAAAUGGAUUAUUAUUAUUAAUAUUAUUAUUAUUAACAAGAAUAAAAAGUAUUAUAAUAAAUUAAUCUAUUAAUUUUUUAGUUAAAAUAUUAAUAAUAAUAAUUAACAAUAAUUACUAUUAAUAAUUAAUUUUUGAAUAAUAAUAACAAUAACAAUAAUUAAAAUACAAAAUAAUAAUUAUGAUAAAAAUUAAUGAAGGAUUUUAUACUAAUUUGUUACAAUUUAAUUUAUUCUGAUUUUUAUUCUAAGACAAAGUAAACACAUAAAUGGUAAUACAACUCAUUCUAAUUAUGAUUCCUGCCGUUCAAGUAAAUAAAUUAUUCUAAUUCCAAUUUCUCAUUUGAAUUCUAGAUAUUUCGAUUUUAGCUUAUUAUGUUUUCAGUUAAUUUUUAUUCAUGUUUAGUGAAUGCACUAUAAAAUUCAUAAUACUUAUAAAAAAACUGUAAAUAAUAUAGAGUGGUCUAAUUGAAUAUAAAUUGAUUUACAAUUUUAUAGUGCAUUCAUUAAAAAUGAAUCGAAAUUAGCUGGAAACAUAAUGAGUUAGAAUUGGAAUAACUAUAAUUAAAAUAAAGAAUUGGAAUUAAAACAAUUUAUUUACUUGAACUGCAUGAAUCGUAAUUAGAAUAAACGGAUGUACGGUACAGCAGACCUGGAGAUUAAGGAAAAACCUAGGCAAACAAAAGUCAAGACAAGAAGAGCAUUCCGAGUCAUGAGAGAGCCAAUUAUUAUUAUUGGCAUUUUAACUAAAAAUUAUUAUUAAUUAUUGUUAAUAGAUUAAGAAAUUUAAAAUUAUAGGGGGUGAAUUAGUACUCUAAUAAAGGUUUCAAUAAAAUAAAACAGAGUAUAAGAGGCUCAAAGACAUUUUACAAGACAAAAAAUUUUAUAAUUCUUAUGAAUAAAUUGUAAAUAAUAUAGAGCAUAUGGGGCUAAUUGAUAUUUUGGGGGUCAGCCGUAAGUUACGCUGAAUGUAACUUAGGCGGACCCCACUCUUAAGGGCUUUUGGUGGAUUCGAGCCAACGACAAGUCAGAUGAUGGUUGGUAGAAGGGAGUUGACUGAAAAUUGUGGGAAAAGACUUAGUGAUGCGACAUUUGGAGUGACCAAUUAAUUGUGAAUUUGAACUGGUCAUCCUUUUUUGCACCUUGUCGCCGUUGUACAACUUGUACUUGCCUGAGGUGAUUAAUUGCUUCAAGCUACAUGAAAACGAUGCGCUUUGCAACAAGAAGCCUUUUUUUUUUUUUUUUUUUUUUUUUUUUUUUUUUUAAAAAAUUUUUUUUUUUUUUUUUUUUUUUUUUUUUUUUUUUUUUUUUUUUUUUUUUUUUUUUUUUUUUUUUUUUUUUUUUUUUUUUUUUUUUUUUUUUUUUUUUUUUUUUUUUUUUUUUUUUUUUUUUUUUUUUUUUUUUUUUUUUUUUUUUUUUUUUUUUUUUUUUUUUUUUUUUUUUUUUUUUUUUUUUUUUUUUUUUUUUUUUUUUUUUUUUUUUUUUUUUUUUUUUUUUUUUUUUUUUUUUUUUUUUUUUUUUUUUUUUUUUUUUUUUUUUUUUUUUUUUAAAAAAAACUUCAAACUUAGUCUCUGAAAAUUGCAAGCUAGUCAAGGUAUAUUUAAUUAUCUGAAAAUUGCAAGUUAGUCAAGGUAUAGUUAAUUGUAUGGCAUAAAAUAAAUCGUCAUGACAAAGGUUUUAGCCACCGAAAUUGUAUUCGUCGUUUAAAAUAAUAUAUUUUUGCCUAAAGUCUAUAUUAUAGUGCUUGGUUGAGGGAAUCGACGGCCGGCCACUGCAACGGUGGUUGGCUGCAUUUGUUUUGUAUAGGGCUAAUUUUGUACUAAGUGAAAGGGUAAAAAAAUGAUAUGGGCAAGGGAUUGGUUGAAUAUGCUGAGCAAUAUCCAUUAGACACAUGGUACAGAUUUCAACUAGUCAAGAACUAAUAAUUUAGUAAGAACUAGUGGCAUUAAAUAGUAAUUAUUCGGUGAAGUUGAGACUCUUAUAACAUUUCGCUUUCUAAGUUGUCGGCUUGAAUCUUGAUGCAAUUAAAAACAAUGAAUCUCUGAACUCUUGGUUAUGGAAAAACUUCUUGCUGUUUCUCUUUCCCGAAAUAAUUAAUGAUUACAAUGUGAUUUAUACAUAAGAAAAGGAUCAACAUGUCGAAGUAAAGCAAAUAUAUACAAUAUAUUAUACUUGAAAUAAUUGUGUAGAAUUGAUAGAAGUGAAAACUUUAUUAAGAAAAAUCAAACCCGUCACUUGCGUUAAGAAAAUUGACGUGGGCAUGCAUGAGAGCUGAAUUGGUUAAUUUAGAGUAAUGAUAGUGAGAAGGAGCUCACUCCAACCCCAGCAAUCCCAUAUGAAAGAGUAAACAGAAGUUAAAAUAAUAAUAAAAUUACUCUAACUUUUGAAUUGAUGGCAAAAUUUUGCACAAUAAAAUCGCUUUGGUGGGAUUGAGGUGAGUCUCGCUAAUUGAUGGGUUGAAUAUAAUUUUUCAUUGUUUAAUGUACAGAUCAGAAAGAUCACAUUUAGUCAUGGCAUAGAUCUUGUUAACUCAAUUGUAUUCAAGCACAUAUUAUUUGACCACAAGAACACGUGGAGUUGAUUAUUCACUUAAUAUUGAGUCCUUCGUAGACAUUUAUUUCCUAGUUGUCAGCUUGAUAAAAUUGAAAGCAGUGUAAUUACCAAGAACGUAAUUUUUUUUAACUUUUUGAAGGAAUUAUAUUGACUUCUUCGAUCUAAUUUGACUGGAAACUAUGCAAGUUAUCAAGUAAUUUACUAUGAAAAAUUUAGAAUAAUUAUUUGGGAAGACUAUAAUGUAUUAAUUAUAUCAUCUAUGGGAAGGAAUUAUAUUUACUUCUUCGGUCUAAUUUGACUGGAAACUAUGCAAGUUAUCAAGUAAUUUACUAUGAAAAAUUUAGAAUAAUUAUCUGGGAAGACUAUAAUGUAUUAAUUAUAUCAUAUAUGGGAAGGCCAGUUCAGACGAGUCGUUGAAACAUGCAGCACCAAUUUUUUUUUUAAUAUGUGUUACACAAUAGGAAAAUCUCAAUAAAUUGAUCAUUUUGAGUAAACUAAGUUUGGUAGUUCCGAGUUCAGACAAAUGGGCCAAAUAAAAUUUUACUAAAUUUAUAAGAUUAUGUACUAUAGAAAAAUAUUUGUAGUUUCAUAUAAGACAACUUACUUUUGGCCUGUUUAAUUCUUAUAAGUUUGAGAUAAUGUUCAAUUUAUAAGCUGAAUUUUGAGUGUGAAUUAGACACAAGCUUCUAUGUGCUAUCGAUACCAAACUCAUCCACAAGUUGAAUCACGCUACCUUUUCAUAUGACAAGGAUUAUGUAGAAAUGCCAACUUGCACGUGACAGAGGGUGUUAAGAGAAAAAUCUCAUAUUAGUUGUAAUGAAUCGUUAGAUAUUUAUAUAAUCCUUUUCAUAUGAUAAGGAUUAUGCCAUGGACUUCUAUAUAGUAUCAUAACCAAAAUCUUGUAAGAGUGGACUCACACUAUUUUACUAGAUGAGAGGGACUAAUAAAAAUGACCACCCUGCAUGUAGUUAGGGAUGAUAGGAAAAUCAUCCAAUGUCAAUUGAGAAAAAGAACUAUAUUUUGAGUAUGAGUUAGGCUUAUGAUAUCAUAGAAAAAUUCAUCCACGUAUGGGCCAUGACAUCUCUAUUUCUCACUGCCAAGAAGCACAUACCUUAAAUUAUUUCAUAGUUUUUUUUUGUGGUUUCAAUUUCAUGCUCCAGUUUUUGCUGUACCAGUUAAUUUAUUUCGUUAUAAGCCAUAAAGGUAUUCCUAUGGUACAUUGAACAACAAUUCUUCAUAACAAUCAGUUUAUGGGGAAGUUUAUAUGUACACAAAAUCCUUGAGUGAAAUAGAGGUUACAACAAACUCAAUUGAAAAUAAAUCUAUCAUAGAAACAAAAAGGAGUUAAUGUGUUAUCCAAUUUCAAGAAUCCUUGGGGUGAACCUGUUGGUGUGCGUUCUAUAGCAACAUUAACCAAAAUAUUGAUGUGCGUGAAUAAGACCAACAGUCUAGUUAAAUGGCACAGGGUAGUAACUUUAAUCGUUCAAAACAUUAGUAGCAAAAAUAUUGCAAAAAAAAAAAAGAGUGAAAGACAGAACAAGCAAUAUAAUAUAGAAAUAAAUAAUGAAAAUAGCAAAUGCAAGUGCCAAAAUAUUUAGCUAUAUGUCUAAAAAUAUUUUACAAAAUAUAUCUAAGAACAAGUGAGAUUACUCCGGAUCCAAAUUAGAGUAAAACUAAGAUGUGAUCACAUAAAAAAUUACACAACAAGCCAUACGAAACUCCGAAAAGGUUGCUGAUCUAAUGAAAAAAAUGUAAUAAUAAGCACACAUGAUCACUAAUAACAUCAUAUGUCAGAAAACUUGAACACACCCAAAAAAAGGUUAUAAAAUCUAAUGGUUUAAAAUAUAGCAAAAACAAGAAAAGAUAGAGAUUUAUAUCUAAAAUCAAAUCUCUCGUUGAGUCCACUCUUUUCGAUCUAUAAAUGCAAGUCAAAAGGAUUAAGAAGAGACUUUUAGCUAUUUUUUCACUCAUAACAGAGAAAACCAUAUCCAAAUUUACUAGAAUUCACUAAACACAAAACUAACAAGAACAUUGGAAUGCCUUCGCAAGUACACGCUCAAGUUAUGAUAAUCUGCGGAGAAAAUGUUGAAGACGAGAAGGAAUCUCACGCAUUCAGAAGAAUCAGGUUUAAUUCAAACAGUUACUUCUUUUAUAUUAUCCGGUCUAUUGAAGGAUGUAGAACUUAAGGUGCUAUAAACAAAUCAAGCAACCUUAGAUCCUACCCAAGAUCACCAACCAAAUUUAUCAAGAUGCUUCAAGAUUGAUAACUGAAGAACUUGACUAAGAUUAAUCAAUGGAAUGUGACAAUUAACCGACUAGAAUUAAGAAAACAAAAGAUAUAGAAUGGACAAAAAACAAGAGAGAUUUAACGUGGUUCAGCUAGAUCUCUCUAGCUUACAUCCACGGGAGGGCAAAUAUGACCAGCUUUGAUUGAUUCUCAAGAUGAUUUACAGAGUAAUGCUAUGAGCCUUUACACAAGAUCGAGACUGCUUAUUUAUUCCAGCCCUUUCUCUCUCUACAACUCUCUAUCCUUUUGAAUCUGUUGCACCAGAAUCAGCUGCUUCAUAACAGCUUCAUAACAAACCCAGAACUUCCCCAGCAACUCACGUGAGUUCCUAAUGCUUUAACGACAUUUAACGAACCUUGUGAGCUGGAUACAAGCACGUGAUGUUCGCAUGCUUCACUUAAGGGUAAAUGGCAAGCUUGUAUAUAGGGGUGGGCGCGGUUUGGUUCCGUUCGGUUUUUUACUAAAUUUUUCAUAAUCGUUCGAUUACGAUUAUUUUAAAAUCAUAAUCGCGAUUAAUCAAAUUAUCGAAAUAAUCAAAUAUUCGAUUAAUUGAAAUAAUUCGAUUCGAUUCGGUUCAAUUAUUUCGAUUAUGGGCUUAUUUUGGGCUUUUUUAAAUUUAAAACCUUAAAUUAAUAAAUCUACCACAAACAUAAAAAGUUAACAAACAAAAAAUCAAAAUAUGUCUCAAAGUAUAUUCAAGAACACAUAACAUGUUCAAAUACCAAGUUCAAAUCAAAAUAAAUAAGCAAAAAGUCUUUUAAACUUUAACAAAACUACAAAAGCAAUAAACAUCAAUCAACUCCCAAAUCCCAAUUACUCCUCUCAGUUGCUUGUUCUUGUUGAGCUACUAUUGGCCUACCAAAUUCUACAUUAACAAAUUAAACAAAAAUAUUAGACCGAUUAGUUAAGAGUGAAAUAACCAAAACAAUAUAUCAAAAUAUAGUAGUAACAUAUUACCUGCUUCAAUGACUUCAUAGAAUUCAGUUUCCUCCUAAGUAGGUUGUAUUAUCUGUUCUACUAAUAGAGUUUAGCGAAGCCAAUUUUAAGUGCAAAUCAAUGACUCAACAGUUUUAUGAGUUAAAGAACUUCUAAAAGGAUCAAGAACACGCCCUCUUGUGCUAAAUGCCAAUUCCGAAGCUACAGUAAACAUUGGAAUUGCCAAAACAUCCUUGGCAAUCUGAGACAAAAUUGGAUACCUAUGCCCAUUCAACUUCCACCAAGUCAAAAUAUCAAAAUGGGCAUUACUAGUACUCUCAUUAGCAUCCGUCAAGUACUUUUCAACACCAUUUUUUGAACUAAUGUCAUCAUUUGAACUUUGCUUCAUCUUUUGAAAGAUGAAAAAAGAUCAAUUGACAUUAUACUACUACUAGCACCACCACCACCACCACCACCACCACUACUACCAUCAUGGAUAUCACCAAAACAAACACCACCACUAUUCCUCACAUCACUCCCACCAAUAUAGCUAUUAUAUAGCUUCAUCAACAACUCUUUAAUGUUAGAUUUCAAUUCUUCAACCUUCCUAAAUUCAUACAUGCUACUAAAACAAACUCCAAUUUACAUAUAGGAUCAAGCACAAUUGCUACAAAUAAUAACAUGUUAACCUAAUCAAAAGAAUCACCCCAAUAUUUAGCAAACUUUUGUUCCAUUUUUUUGGCCAUUUUCCUCAACAAAUCAUCACUAGAAGUAGCAAGUGACUUCAAAUGAAUUAGAACUUUUGCCAUUUCAUUUAAGUAAUCAUUGGAAGUGACAUCAAGAGAGCUACUAAAUUUCAAGGUCAUAUAAUAAAAAACCGAUAAAAAGUUGACUAACCUCCUUGCAUUUCCCCAAUUGUCAUCGCUCGGUGGCCCCUCCCUCUUUUUUUCACCCUCAUCCUCAACAAACCAAUUAACAUAAUGUUGAUCAUCUUCCUUCAUCCUAUCAAAUGUUUUUUCAAACACAGCCGUUUUGUGCAACAUCAAAUAUGUUGAAUUCCAUCUAGUAGGCACAUUCAACACCAUAAGCCCUCCAUAUGAGAUUUUCUCCCUACCAACACAUGUUUUAAACUUUUGCAAUCUUGCUGGAGAGGAUCUAACAGACUUUAUUGCAUUGCGAAUACUAGCUAUUGAAUGAUUCACCUCCGCCAACUCAUCUUGCACAAUCAAAUUUAUUAUGUGUGCCGAACACCUCACAUGCAUAUAUAAACCAUUCAAAACCAUUGAAUUCACACUCCAAUUUGCUAACUUCUUCUUCACAUAAAUUAUUGCAAUUUUAUUGGCACUUGCAUUGUCCACUGUAAUUGUGAACGACCUCUAAAUCCUCCAAUCAAUCAAACAUGUCUCAAUUAGCUUCCCAAUACCAUCUCCUUUAUUAUUAGCUAUAGGUGUGAAACUAAGAAUCCUUUUGUGCAACACCCACUCCGCAUCAAUAAAAUGAGCAGUAAUGACCAUGUAGUUAGACAGUUGAAUUGAUGUCCAUGUAUCUGUGGUAAUACACACCCUUUGCUUGCUUGCACCCAAAACACUUUUUAACAACCCUUUUUCAUACUGAUACAAUUCAAGAAUAUCCCUUGUAAUUGUUCUUCGCGAUGGCACAUCAAAUCUUAGGCAACAAGUUUGCAUAAACUCUAAAAACCCUUCAGCCUCCACAAAGCUAAAAGGUAAUUCAUCCUUGACAAUCAUCUUCACAAGUGCCAUUUUACAAGCCUCUUGACUAAACCCGCCACUAACUUUAACAACUCCAUCAUCUUUAUCUUUUCCCUUUUGACGGAAAAGUAUUUGUUGCUUCAGAUCCCCUUCAACCUUCACAUCUUGAUAUGACCUACAUUUAUCCAAAUGAUUCUUCAAAUUAGUGGUAUUUCCUCUAUUAGCUGCAAAGGUUUUACGGCAAUGAUGACAUUUUCCUUUGUUUCCACAAGGUAGUUUGGUAAAAUGAGCCCAAACAUUUAAUCUCAAAGGCAUUUUUCUUUUUUUUCCCAUCAUCAACCUCCACCUCUUGCACUUCCUCCUCAUCAUAAUUUUCCAUUCUACACAAACACAAAAUCAUUCAUGCAAAAUUGUGGCAAAUCAAAAAUCAGCAGCAACAAAUCAACACAACAGCAACAACAAAUAAAAAAUCUUGGGGAUUAUAAAAUAAAAAAUAUUAUGACAUUGCGGCACAACUCAAAUUUGUGAUCGUUUAUAUUAAUAUGUCUAUCCUAUUAAUAUUAAGGAGAUAUAUCUAUUCAUAAUUUAUUAAGAGAGUAGUAACUUUAGCAAUUUAUACUACAUGAUUCAUGAAUUAACUUUUAUAUACUCUACAUGAUUCAUGAAUUAACUUUAGCAAUUUGUUCAAACAGAAAAAUAGUAUUAAAGUUCUAUAAUAAAAUCACCUUUUCACCCAUUCGAACACUAUAGUUCUGAAUUCUCAUGUCACCACAAGAUAGUUUAACAUGUGAACAUGAGAAAUAGCUUUCUAUAUUUUUUUUUCUUAAAAUCUGAAAAUAUUAGAUGGGUCCAGUGACAUAUAAAGCUAUAAACAUUUAUCCCAAAAAAAAAAAUUUCAAAAUCACUUCAAUCACAUGAAUUAUGCAAGCAAACAAUAAAAUGGAUUGGAUGAAGGUUUUUGGAAAUUGGUUGAACCCUCUGUAGAAUACAAGCAUGAGUAGCUUUAUCAGACCUUUCAUAUUUCUCAACACCUUGGUCUUUUUUUUUUUUUUUUUGCCUGUUGGAAAAGUUCAACAUCUUCAUUGAAGAAAGUGCUCUUACCUUGUGCAUAAAUCAAUCAUAAUCAAUCAAUCAUAAUAACAAUAGCAGCAAUAAUAACAAUAACAAUAAACAACAGCAAGAAGAAAAUGCUUUGCACCUACACAAAUUCACUUUGUCAAGAAAGUGGAGGUGGAGUGCUAAUAAUCUAAUUGUUAGCUUUAGCAAUUAAUUAAUUAUUUCCACCAACAUUAAUAUAACUAUUGGCUCACAGAGCAGAUCAAGUGACCGCAUGUCUCUAUGCACUUGUCCUAAACUCACAUGACAGCGGCUGCAGCACGUGGCUGAGAGUUUUUGUUGACAGCGACUGCAGUACGUGGUAGCAGCGGCGAAGACUCGGCGACGAGCAGCGGCGGGGACGAGCAGCGGCGGCUGAAGGUCACGCAUUCGGUUUCGGCUGAAGAUCAUAAGUGGUGUUUAGUUUAGACUUUAGGGAUUAUUGGAUUGUUAUUCAGUUCGUUUUUUUUUAAACCGAACUGACUGGUUUUACUAUUUUCAUUAUAUUACUUAUUCGGUUUUUUAUUAAUCAGCUUUUUUUGCCCACUCCUACCUGUAUAUCGUUCUGAAGAGUGUUUAACUUGCUCAUCAAAACGCACAUAUCUCUAUCGUUUGGCUUAAGUGAUUCCAGCUUCAAAACACAAGAUCCUCUGUCGUUUUGAGUUUCUGGAUUUGCUUUCAUCAAAACAAAGGAUUUUUUUUAUCUUUCAAUCAACAGUGCCAAUUUCCUAUUGGGAAUGCAGAAGUGACAUUGAUCUGGUCAUAAAUAAUAACCUGACUUGUCCUACAAAUUCAUUUGUACUAAGAGAAAUCUCUGUUAAGUUUGUUUUGAUGAAUGUUUGUUUACUUGAAAAAAAAAGGCAGCACAGAAGAAUAGAAAUUUCAUAAAAUUGUACUUGGAUAAGGAUGGAGAGAGAGAAAUAUUUAUUUCGAGAUGGCAAAGCGUUCAAGAUAGAUAAAUCGUGAGAUAAUGAAGAAUUACAUUAAAUUAAAGAAUGAAGAUAACAUAAAGAACGGUUAACAUCAUUUAAUUAUUAGCUGGGUAUAAAUCAGCAGGCAAGCGGGGCUUUGCACGAGCAUGCAGUGGCUUAGCCAUUAGGAGGUCGCAUUUUGACUCGGAAAGGUCAACCAUCUCCUCAUCCGAUGGCGCGCUCCAAUUAAAACCUUGAAGAAGCCUUGCCAAAAGCAUUACAGACAUCUCGGACCCAAGUGCCAUGCCCAUGCAACCGCGUCUUCCUCUGCUGAAUGAAAGAAAUCUUAAUUCUGGUUCGGUCAACUCUACUUGAUGAUGAUGAUCAUCCGGUGAACCAAUAUGACGUUCCGGUAUGAAUUUCAAUGGAUCUUUCCAGACGUUAGGGUUUCGGCCAAGCCCUAUCCGGCUCAGCAGAACGUGACUGCCUUUGGGAAUGAAGUAACCGGCGACAGUGGCAUCGCGAGUUGAAACAUGAGGCAGGUUAAACGGUGCCACGGGAUGAAGGCGAAGCACUUCCCUUAAACAAGCCUUGAUAUAAUUGAGCUGCGGGACGUCAGAUUCCUGAACAAGUCUUUCUUUUCCAACAACUCUAUCGAUCUCCUCUGUUGCUUUUUGGAGAAUUUCAGGCUGGUUGAUCAUCUCCGCUAUUGCCCAUUCUGCUGCAUUCGAUGGAUUAUCCACUGUUGCAAGUGUCAGAUCCUGCAAGUACGUACAUAUGUUAAUUUAUCGAUCAGUUAAUUUGUCAUUAAAAUUCGAGACCGCGACCUGAUUAUAUAUAACAUGAGCAAUUAAUAAUAUAAAAAUUAAUGUAUUAAAUAAACAAGAUAUCCAACGUACCAUGCAUUGAGAUUUGAUCUCAUCUAUGGAUAACAAUGGAUCCCCAUUUUCAUCCUUUGCUGAAAUGAGAACAUCUAGCAAGUCCAGGUCGUUGUGAGCUUCCUUCUUGUUGUCAUGAUGUCUCCGUUGUUGUACUCUCUCGUCUAUAAUGGAAUCGUGAUACUUGUUGGCAGUUUUCAUGGCCGCACUUACAAUUUUUUCAUGGCCUUCUAGAUCGAAGACUCUCAUCCAGGGAACGUAAUCUGAAAGAGUGAAGGAAUAAAG
rnacentral:lncRNA from 1 species